CCUACGGGGGGCAGCAGUGAGGAAUAUUGGUCAAUGGGCGUAAGCCUGAACCAGCCAAGUCGCGUGAGGGAUGAAGGUUCUAUGGAUCGUAAACCUCUUUUAUAAGGGAAUAAAGUGCGGGACGUGUCCCGUUUUGUAUGUACCUUAUGAAUAAGGAUCGGCUAACUCCGUGCCAGCAGCCGCGGUAAUACGGAGGGUCCGAGCGUUAUCCGGAUUUAUUGGGUUUAAAGGGUGCGUAGGCGGCCUUUUAAGUUCGCGGGGAAAGUCUGUGGCUCAACCAUAGAAGUGCCGUUGAAACUGGGAGGCUUGAGGAUGUUUGAGGCAGGCGGAAUGCGUGGUGUAGCGGUGAAAUGCUUAGAUAUCACGCAGAACCCCGAUUGCGAAGGCAGCCUGCCAAGCCAUGACUGACGCUGAUGCACGAAAGCGUGGGGAUCAAACAGGAUUAGAUACCCGGGUAGUC
rnacentral:rRNA from 1 species